AUUUGCUCCUCAGUGAGAGCAGGGCGGAUGAUAAGAAAAUGCCAUUCUCAAGUGCUCUGCAUCAUUGUAGGACUGGGCUUGCCCUUGAACACAACAGCACUGUUCCUGUGUUCUUGAUGAUUUGAAACAGCUACAAGAAAUCCCUUUCUCCCUGAGGCCACUGAAAGGCUGGGUCAUCAUUCGUAGCAGUGGAAGCAGGACGGAAUCUCACCAUUCUCCCUUCUAAGGAGAAUGCUGGCUGAGCACCUGUUCGUUCUUCUCACAGUCCCUGGUCUCGCCAUGCUCUGUCAGCACCUCAGUAGCCUUAUAAACGGAGUACUGCACUGUGUGCACUAGACGAUCCUCUCUGCCUCUUAAGAUCUCUGUGCUUCCUGACAACCCAGGUAAAGAAGAAACAGACUCUCUUUGAACUCAUUUUUUACCACAGUAUUCCUUUUCAGUUCUAACAGAUGCAAAUUUGAACCCAAUUUUUGUUUAUAGAAUAGCAUGAAGUCAGAAUACAAGGAGGCUUCCAA